CCUACGGGCGGCAGCAGUGAGGAAUAUUGGUCAAUGGACGAGAGCCUGAACCAGCCAAGUAGCGUGAAGGAUGACUGCCCUACGGGUUGUAAACUUCUUUUAUACGGGAAUAACGUGUUCCACGUGUGGGAUUUUGUAUGUACCAUAUGAAUAAGGAUCGGCUAACUCCGUGCCAGCAGCCGCGGUAAUACGGAGGAUCCGAGCGUUAUCCGGAUUUAUUGGGUUUAAAGGGAGCGUAGGUGGAUUGUUAAGUCAGUUGUGAAAGUUUUCGGCUCAACCGGAAAAUUGCAGUUGAAACUGGCAGUCUUGAGUACAGUAGAGGUAGGCGGAAUUCGUGAUGUAGCGGUGAAAUGCUUAGAUAUCACGAAGAACGCCGAUUGCGAAGGCAGCUCACUGGACUACAACUGACACUGAUGCUCGAAAGUGUGGGUAUCAAACAGGAUUAGAUACCCUGGUAGUC
rnacentral:rRNA from 1 species